CAAGAGAACAAGGCUGAAGUGAAAAUAAUAUUGGUCACUGAAAUAAUAGUUUUAUAUCAACUACAAAUAAAUUAACUGUUUUUUGUUUAAAGAUUCAAAAUGACCCUCACACUUCAAAUACUAGUUAUUUUAAGAUUCACAUUUACUGUCACAAAACGAAAUUAUAUGUUACUAAUAACUCAAAUAUUAAUAUAUAUUACUUAUAUAUAUAUAAUUACUAAUUUUUUUAAAAGUAUUAUCAGUGAUCCUUACAUUCCUCCAUUUCCACCAACAAUUCAAAUGGAGAGCGAUGUGUCCAUCAAUUCCAAUCUUGAAGUCAAUUCCAAUCCUGAAGUGCAAAGGACUAAGGAAUCUGCAUCCAACGAUAGAGUGCUCCACGAUGAACUUUAAUAUAAAUAUUACUGUUCUUAUCAAAUAUUUGACGGAGGUGGAUGAAAAAUUUUCUAUAGCCAAAGCAUUUAUUUUAGUAUUAAAUACAAAGGUGCAGCGUCACUCAUGUGGGAGAAGUGUGUAUUUAUUUUUUAUUAAUAUUUAAAUAAUUUUUUAAUAAGGGUAAUUUUUUAUCUACCA